UACGUAGGGGGCAAGCGUUAUCCGGAUUUACUGGGUGUAAAGGGAGCGUAGACGGCAGGGCAAGUCUGGAGUGAAAGGCAGGGGCCCAACCCCUGGACUGCUCUGGAAACUGUCCGGCUGGAGUGCAGGAGAGGUAAGUGGAAUUCCUAGUGUAGCGGUGAAAUGCGUAGAUAUUAGGAGGAACACCAGUGGCGAAGGCGGUCUGCUGGACAGCAACUGACGCUGAGGCGCGAAAGCGUGGGGAGCAAACAGG
rnacentral:rRNA from 1 species